rnacentral:tRNA from 3 species
AGAAAGAACAAUGGAACUGCUAAUUCCACACUCCCAUAACUAACAUUAUGGCUUUCUU